rnacentral:rRNA from 1 species
GACGAACGCUGGCGGCGUGCUUAACACAUGCAAGUCGAACGGAAAGGCCCUGCUUUUGUGGGGUGCUCGAGUGGCGAACGGGUGAGUAACACGUGAGUAACCUGCCCUUGACUUUGGGAUAACUUCAGGAAACUGGGGCUAAUACCGGAUAGGAGCUCCUGCUGCAUGGUGGGGGUUGGAAAGUUUCGGCGGUUGGGGAUGGACUCGCGGCUUAUCAGCUUGUUGGUGGGGUAGUGGCUUACCAAGGCUUUGACGGGUAGCCGGCCUGGGAGGGUGACCGGCCACAUUGGGACUGGGGAACGGCCCAGAGUCCUACGGGAGGCAGCGGUGGAGAAUAUUGCACAAUGGGCGGAGGCCUGAUGCAGCAACGCCGCGUGCGGGAUGACGGCCUUCGGGUUGUAAACCGCUUUCGCCUGUGACGAAGCGUGAGUGACGGAAAUGGGUAAAGAAGCACCGGCUAACUACGU